AUCAUUAAGCGGUGGAAAAGAAAACAAACGUGAUUCCCUUAGUAACGGCGAGCGAACAGGGAAAAGCCCAACGCAAAGGCAUACUGCACAUUUGUGUAGUAAGCGAUGCUGCGUGUGAGUUAAAUGCUUGAGUUGAAAGCAAGUGCUGGCAUAUGUUGAAACGAACUACCUAAUAGUUGGCCUUAGCGGGUUAAAGCCCCGUCACGAUAUUAUAAGUCCACACGAGCUAAUACGAUAGCUUUAACUUGAGAGUAGGACUAUUUGAGAUUGUAGUCUGAAGUAGGAGGUAUGCAUCUCCUAAGGCUAAAUAUUACUGCGAGACCGAUAGCGAACAAGUAGCGUAAGCGAAAGUUGAAAAGAACUUUGAAGAGAGAGUUCAAAGAGCGUGAAACCACUAGUAGGGAAGCGGGUGUUACCACGAAAAGGCGUUACAGAUUUGUGAUAUAAAUAUUUAAACAUUGUCAAAUGUUAUAAAUAAAGUUUAGCUUUUAUUCUUUAUAAGUAUAUUUUAUAUAUUUAUAAAUGAAUAUUGAAGAAACCUUUAUAUUUAUAUGCAUUAAUGGACAAUAUUUAUAUCAUAAAGCAAAUUCUGUGCCAAUAUCUUGUACGCUUUGAAGACUAGAUAGUGUCUAAUAUGAGCUUAUAUAAGAACUUUUUUGGGGAACUUGUAUUAAGCAUAUUAGUUUAAAUUAUUUAAUAAGUAUUUUCAUAUAUAGUUGAUCUUGCAUUAACUAUAUAUGUUUUAAAAUACCUUAAAUUCCUAUCUUUAAGUGUACAAAGCGUUUUAAACUUUUCUUUAAAUAAAAAGAAACAAGAUAUAAGUAGAUCGGUAAACACCUGCCCCGUCUUGAAACACGGACCAAGGAGCCUAACGUGUACGUAAGUCUUUCAGUAUAUAUUUAAUAGACUUGAUAUGGCAUAAUGAAAGCAAUAUGUAUAUAAUUCGUACAUGUUUAUAUACAGCAAUUAGGUUAUAUUUACAUAUAUUUUAUAUAUAUGUUAAUAUAAUUAAAGUUGCGAUACGAUAUAUAUAUGUCGUAUUUGAACGUACACGGUAGUACCCGAAAGAUGGUGAACUAUGCUUGAGCAGGGUGAAGCCAAAGGAAACUUUGGUGGAAGCCUGUAGCAAUUUUGACGUGCAAAUCGAUUGUCAGACUUGAGUAUAGCGGCGAAAGACUAAUCGAACCAUCUAGUAGCUGGUUUCCUUCGAAAUUUCCCGCAGGAUAGCAAGCACAAUAAGUUAAAAUCAUUUAAACCUGUUACAGUCUCAAUAGAAGGUAACGGGGCGUUAAUUGACCUUGUCCUUUUCCUAAACUCGGUCAAUGGGUUUUUUUAAAUAUUUGCACAUUAAAUGUCUUGUGCAAAUUAUAUAUUUAUUAUUUUAAAUAUACUUAAUGAUUUGUGCUUAGUGGGCCAUUUUUGGUAAGCAGAACUGGCGAUGUGGGAUGAACCAUACACAGAAUUAAAGUGCCUAAGGUAUAUACGCUAAGAAGAUCCCAUUAAAGAUGUUGUUCGCUAGAGACAGUAGGGCGGUGGCCAUGGAAGUCGGCAUCCGCUAAGGAGUGUGUAACAACUCACCUACCGAAGCGUUCAACUCUGAAAAUGGAUGGCGCUUAAGCGUUUAACUGAUAUUCUGUCGUAGGUAGUAAAUCCUUAAAGAAAAGUAUUAAAUAAGACUCCUACGAGUAGGAGGAAUGCGGUGAUGGCGUCGAAGCUUUAGGCGUAAGCCUAAGUGGAGCCGUUGCUGAURCAGAUCUUGGUGGUAGUAGCAAAUAAACAAGUGACAACCUUGUUGACCGACGUGGAUACGGGUUCCAUGUGAACAGUAUUUGGUCAUGGGUUAGUCGAUCCUGAGAGGUGCGGCGAAAGCCGUUUCGUAAGAAGCAUUCAUUUAUUGAAUGCACCUCGAAAGGGAAUGAGGUUAAUAUUCCUCAACCUUGUAUGUGGUAAUUUUAUUUUCUUAUUUAUAAGUAAAUAAAAUAAAGCGGCAACGCGUUCAAAGUCAGAGACAUUAGCCAAAGUCCUGGGAAGAGAUAUCGUCUCUUCUUUAAGGUGUGCUAAGCGCCUUGAAAAAGUUUAGCUUGAGACAGGCGUUUAUGCACCGAAAUACACCGCGCUUCAAGUGGUGAACAAAUUUAUAUACAGUGUACUUUGGUUAAUCCUUGAAAAUCUGACUGAGUGUUAAUUUAAACCACUACAAGAUCGUACCUCGAUCCGCAACAGGUAUCCUAGGUAAACAGCCUCUGGUCUAAUAGAAAAAUGUAAGUAAGGGAAGUCGGCAAAGCUGAUCUGUAUCUUUGGUACAAAGAUUGGCUCUGGCGAGUUUGUCGAUUGGACCAAAAUUAGUAAGUUUGAAUAGAUUACUUGUACUGAUUGAAUUUUUUAAUUUAUAUUUUAAAUUUAUAUAUUGUGCUAUAUAUAUAGCUUUAGGGUUAUUUUAUAGUAUAUAUAUAAUAUUUAAUUUAUAAUUAGAUUCGAUUGGGACUUGUAUGAAUUUCUU
rnacentral:rRNA from 1 species